UACGGGGGGGGGAAGCGUUGUUCGGAAUUACUGGGCGUAAAGGGCUCGUAGGCGGCCAACUAAGUCAUACGUGAAAUACCCGAGCUUAACUUGGGUGCUGCAUUUGAAACUGGGUGUCUAGAGUGCAGGAGAGGUAAGUGGAAUUCCUAGUGUAGCGGUGAAAUGCGUAGAGAUUAGGAAGAACACCAGUGGCGAAGGCGACUUACUGGACUGUAACUGACGCUGAGGCAUGAAAGCGUGGGGAGCAAACAGG
rnacentral:rRNA from 1 species